UACGGGGGGGGCAAGCGUUGUUCGGAAUUACUGGGCGUAAAGCGCGCGUAGGCGGCUUUUCAAGUCAGGCGUGAAAGCCCCGGGCUCAACCCGGGAACUGCGCUUGAUACUGUUGAGCUAGAGUGUGGAAGGGGCUACUGGAAUUCCGUGUGUAGCGGUGAAAUGCGUAGAUAUCGGAAGGAACACCAGUGGCGAAAGCGACUUCCUGGUCCAAUACUGACGUUCAUGUGCGAAAGCGUUGGGAGCAAACAGG
rnacentral:rRNA from 1 species